rnacentral:rRNA from 1 species
UGAAACUAGAUACAAGCGAGCGGCGGACGGGUGAGUAACACGUGGGUAACCUGCCCAAGAGACUGGGAUAACACCUGGAAACAGAUGCUAAUACCGGAUAACAACACUAGACGCAUGUCUAGAGUUUGAAAGAUGGUUCUGCUAUCACUCUUGGAUGGACCUGCGGUGCAUUAGCUAGUUGGUAAGGUAACGGCUUACCAAGGCAAUGAUGCAUAGCCGAGUUGAGAGACUGAUCGGCCACAUUGGGACUGAGACACGGCCCAAACUCCUACGGGAGGCAGCAGUAGGGAAUCUUCCACAAUGGACGAAAGUCUGAUGGAGCAACGCCGCGUGAGUGAAGAAGGGUUUCGGCUCGUAAAGCUCUGUUGGUAGUGAAGAAAGAUAGAGGUAGUAACUGGCCUUUAUUUGACGGUAAUUACUUAGAAAGUCACGGCUAACUACGUGCCAGCAGCCGCGGUAAUACGUAGGUGGCAAGCGUUGUCCGGAUUUAUUGGGCGUAAAGCGAGUGCAGGCGGUUCAAUAAGUCUGAUGUGAAAGCCUUCGGCUCAACCGGAGAAUUGCAUCAGAAACUGUUGAACUUGAGUGCAGAAGAGGAGAGUGGAACUCCAUGUGUAGCGGUGGAAUGCGUAGAUAUAUGGAAGAACACCAGUGGCGAAGGCGGCUCUCUGGUCUGCAACUGACGCUGAGGCUCGAAAGCAUGGGUAGCGAACAGGAUUAGAUACCCUGGUAGUCCAUGCCGUAAACGAUGAGUGCUAAGUGUUGGGAGGUUUCCGCCUCUCAGUGCUGCAGCUAACGCAUUAAGCACUCCGCCUGG